rnacentral:lncRNA from 1 species
AAAUGAGUCAAAACAGGAACAUUUUACAUCUGGCUAGAAAUGAAUAAGGAAAUUAUCUCAACAGAGAAAAAUGUCCUCAUGUGUGCUACCUAUAUCCCCCCCAAUAGAAUCCCCAUACUUGAAUGAAGACAGCUUCUCCAUCCUGGAGGGGGAAAUCAAUCAUUUCCAGGCCCAGGGACAUGUACUAGUCUGUGGUGACCUAAAUACCAGAACUGGACAAGAACCUGACACCCUCAGCACACAGGGGGACAAACACCUGCCUGGAGGUGACAAUGUUCCCUUCCCCAUAUGCCCCCCUAGACACAACUAUGACAAAAUAUCCAACAAAAACAGGUCACAACUCCUGCAGCUCUGUUGCAUGCUGGAGGACCUGAGCCCUAGGACCAUGCCUCAGGACUACCUGGCCUGAUGAUUCCUUGCUGUCCCCAGUCCACGUGGUCGUGCUGCUGCUCCAGUUUCAACUGUUCUGCCUGCGGCUAUUGAACCCUGACCUGUUCACCGGAUGUGCUACCUUUUCCCGGACCUGCUGUUUUUCGACUCUCUCUGUCUACCGCACCUGCUGUCUCGGCUAUGAAAAGCCAUCUGACAUUUACUCCUGAGGUGCUGACCUUUUGCACCCUCUACAACCACCGUGAUUAUUAUUAUUUGACCCUGCUGGUCAUCUAUGAACGUUUGAACAUCUUGCCCAUGUACUGUUAUAAUCUCCACCCGGCACAGCCAGAAGAGGACUGGCCACCUCUUAGAGCCUGGUUCCUCUUUAGGUUUCUUCCUAAGUUCCUGCCUUUCUAGGGAGUUUUUCCUAACCACCGUGCUUUUGCAUUGCUUACUGUUUGGGGUUUUAGGCUGGGUUUCUGUAUAGCACUUUGUGACGUCGGCUGAUGUAAAAAGGGCUAUAUAAAUACAUUUCAUUGAUUCUCAUGCUUUGUUGAUUUCAAAAAGCUAUUGUCUCAAUUUGGCAUGAGGGUCUGCUAUACAAAUUGAUGGAAGGUGGUGUUGGGGGAAAAACAUACAACAUUAUAAAAUCCAUGUACACAAACAACAAGAGUGCGGUUAAAAUUGGUAAAAAACAAACACAUUUCUUUCCACAGGACUGUGGGGUGAGACAGUGAUGCAGCUUAAGCCCCACCCUCUUCAACAUAUAUAUAUAUAUAAACAAUUUGGCGAGGGCACGAGAACAGUAUGCAACACCUGGCCUCACUCUACUGGAAUCUGAAGUCAAAUGUUUGUUUGCUGAUGAACUGGUGCUUCUGUCACCAACUAAGGAGGGCCUACAGCAACACCUAGAUCUUCUGCACAGAUUCUGUCAGACCUGGGCCCUGACAGUAAAUCUCAGUAAGACAAAAAUAAUGGUGUUCCAAAAAAGGUCCAGUUGCCAAGACCACAAAUACAAAUUCCAUCUUGACACCGUUGCCCUAAAACACACAAAAAACUAUACAUACCUCGGCCUAAACAUCAGCGCCACAGGUAACUUCCACAAAGCUGUGAACGAACUGAGAGACAAGGCAAGAAGUGCCUUCUAUGCCAUCAAAAGGAACAUAAAAUUCAACAUACCAAUUAGGAUCUGGCUAAAAAUAUUUGAAUCAGUUAUAGAACCCAUUAUGGUUGUGAGGUGUGGGGUCCGGCUCACCAACCAAGAAUUCACAAAAUGGGAAAAACACCAAAUUGAGACUCUGCAUGCAAAAUUCUGCAAGAUAUCCUCCGUGUACAACGUAAAACCCCAAAUAAUGCAUGCAGAACCGAAUUAGGCCGAUACCCGCUAAUUAUUGAAAUCCAGAAAAGAGCUGUUAAAUUCUACAACCAACUAAAAGGAAGCGAUUCCCAAACCUUCCAUAACAAAGCCAUCACCUACCCUAGAGAUGAACCUGGAGAAGAAUCCCCUAAGCAAGCUGGUCUUGGAGAGUACAGAGUACACAGUGGCAGAAUACCUGACCACUGUGACUGACCCAAACCCAAGCUCUGACUAUGUACAGACUCAGUGAGCAUAGCCUUGCUAUUGAGAAAGGCUGCCAUUGGCAGACCUGGCUCUCAAAAGAAGACAGGCUAUGUGCACACUGCCCACAAAAUGAGGUGGAAACUGAGCUGCACUUCCUAACCUCCUGCAAAAUGUAUGACCAUAUUAGACAAAUAUUUCCCUCAGAUUACACAGAUCCACAAAGAUUUCGAAAACAAACCAAAUGUUGAUUAACUCCCAUAUCUACUGGGUGAAAUACCAGUGUGCCAUCAAAGCAGAAAUAUUUGUGACCUGUUGCCACAAGAAAAGGGCAACCAGUGAAGAACAAACACCAUUGUAAAUACAAUCUAUAUUUAUGUUUAUUUAUUUUUCCUUUUGUAUUUUAACUAUUUGCACAUAAUAUGACAUUUGAAAUGUCUUUAUACAUUUGGAACUUUUGUGAGUGUAAUGUUUACUGUUCAUUUUUGUUUAUUUCACUUUUUUUUUACUAUCUACUUCACUUGCUUUGGCAAUGUUAACAUAUAUUUCCCAUGCCGAUAAAGCCCUGAGAGAGAGAGAGAGAGAGAGAGAGAGAAAGACAGAGAGAGACAGAGAGACAGAGAGAGAGAGAAAGACAGAGAGAGAGCUUUGAAUGCCAUUCUGCUGAGAGAAGGUCCUAUCCCUUAUCAGUAUAAUGCUGUGAGAACUCCACUCAGUCAAUGUCAUCUAAAACACCCACCUGAAUGUGUGGACAAAUAUGUAGGGCUAUAUACUGUAUGUAUUCCUUCUAGCUGAUGUAUUGUGUAUUUUCAAACUGAACAAUAGAUAGCACUCUGUGGUUGAAUGUGCAGUUAGAUUAGCAACACAAUAUUUGAUCUAAUAGCCAUGUCUUCUGCAGUGAUAAGCCUUUGGCAAAAACAUAAAGUGCUGGAAAAUGGUACAGUACAAUAGGCCCACCAUAUGAUACUUCCAGAUGGUUGCACAGUAGAACAGCGGUCCUAGUACCACCGGUUGGGAAUCACUGCAGUAGAACACUCAGAUUGAACUCAACAUUGGUGUACCGGCGGUCCGGCGGCCGUAUUUCACAAACGUAAAAUGUUUCACAAACGUAAAAUGUCGAAGUUGUUACAAAAAUCAAAUAUGAAGCUUUUAAGUUUAGGUUUAGGUAUUUUUUAGGUUAGGGUUAAGUUCAGGAAUGAUCUCUGAGAUCUUAAGGUUAGGUAUUAACUCUGAAUGGUUAGGUUAAGGGUUAAGGUUAGGUAUUAACUCAAUGGUUAGGUUAAGGUUAGGUAUUAACUCUGAAUGGUUAGGUUAAGGGUUAAGGUUAGGUAUUAACUCUGAAUGGUUAGGUUAAGGUUAGGUAUUAACUCUGAAUGGUUAGGGUAAGGGUUAAAAUCUCAAAACAACUUUCUAUCUCUGGAUUCUGACAUGCAACCUUUGGUACCAGAGGCAGAUGCUUACCCCGAUCUGCCAUCCCGGUCCACAAUGCCCUGGCAAAACCAAAACUUAUUUGAAGGUAACAGCGCUCACUGUUGUUCCAAGUAGCCGGUUUCCACAUCAUCUCUCGACGUCCUCACACAUGGACGGAUGUCUAAUACUGACUUGUAUCACGGGUGACCUGGCUGACCAUUUUGGGAUUGUUCCAUCAAAAGAUGGAACAAUUAUAGAACUGGAUUAAAGGAAGCAUGGACAGAAGGAGGAGGCUGAGCCCUACUCAUCUUUAUAAUUAAAAAAACUUUUUUUUUUACUUCAGUUUAUUUUAGUAAAUACUUUAACACUUAUUUUUCUUAACUGCAUUGUUGGUUAAGGGCUUGUAAGUAAGCAUUUCACUGUAAGGUCUACACCUGUUCUAUACGGCGCUUGUGAAAAAUAACAUUAGAUUUAUUUUGAUUUGAUUUGUCUGUGCCUUAAGUCCUGCAGGUUAUACAACCACCAGUAGAUGGUGCUGUCCACUGUCUGCAGAUAUACUGUAUCUGGCUCUAAAGUGUUUGUGUGCGAGGAUUCAUGCAUUUGCUCACUCAUAUCUGUGUGGUUGUGUGUGUGUUUGGGAUUCAGCUCUUUGAGGGCACAUUUUGAAGUUUUCCUCUUUGCGAUGUUUCCAGUGUUGGAGGUCAGAGGAGGAGCACUGCACGGAGACUGGCUUUAAGAGAGAGCUGCUCUCAAGUGCCUGUGGUGAGCCAGCACUUCAGAGGAGGACUUGGAGCUACUCUCUUCUCUGUUGGGGAGACUGGUUUUAGGAAGGAAGGUUGAACAGUUCCCUGCUUCUCUCUCUCUGCUCAUCCUAGUUAAAUAAAGGUUAAAUAAAAAAUAAAAAUCCUCUGCAUUUAACUCCGUCUGUCUCAUUAUAAAACUCUCUUUCGCUCUCUUUCUCUCUCAUUCAACCCCUCUCUCUCCCCUGCUGUCUCUACCUCUCUCAUCCUCUCAUCCUACCCUCUGUCAGCAUCCCCAUACCCAUGAUCCCUCUGGCCCUGAGGAGCAUCUGCC